GGGUCAGUAGGUUGGUCGUGCCACCGGUACGUACUGGUCUCACUGAUUCCUCCUUCCCGAAGAACCGUAAUGCCAUUAAUUUGGUGUUGCGGGGAAACAGGACUGUUACUUUGAAAAAAUUAGAGUGUUCAAAGCAAGCUAACGCUUGAAUACAUUAGCAUGGAAUCAUGAAAUAGGACGAUCGAUCCUAUUUUGUUGGUUUCUAGGAUUGACGUA
rnacentral:rRNA from 1 species